rnacentral:rRNA from 1 species
GACGAACGCUGGCGGCGUGCUUAACACAUGCAAGUCGAGCGGAGCGGCGAACGGGUGAGUAACGCGUGAGUAACUGCCCCCCUCCCUGGGGUAACAGUUGGAAACGGCUGCUAAUACCGGAUAGUGGGGGAUGACUCGGGUCCUAUCAGCUUGUUGGUGGGGUAGGGGCCUACCAAGGCGACGCCGGGUAGCCGGCCUGGGCGGGGGACCGGCCACAUUGGGCUGAGAUACGGACCAAACGCCUACGGGAGGAAGCAGUGGGGAAUAUUGCACAAUGGGGGAAACCCUGAUGCAGCAACGCGCGGGCGGGAUGACGGCCUUCGGGUUGUGAACCGCUUUCAGCCAUGACGCGGUAGUGGCAGAAGAAGCACCGGCUAACUACGUGCCAGCAGCCGCGGUAAUAC